CCUGGCGGGUGCUUACCAUGCAGUCGAACGGUGAAACAGAGCUUGCUCUGUGGAUCAGUGGCGAACGGGUGAGUAACACGUGAGCAACCUACCCUUGACUCUGGGAUAACAGUUGGAAACAGCUGCUAAUACCGGAUAUUUACCCUGGCAGGCAUCUGCUGGGGUAGAAAGCUCCGACGGUCAAGGAUGGGCUCGCGGCCUAUCAGCUUGUUGGUGAGGUAACGGCUCACCAAGGCGUCGACGGGUAGCCGGCCUGAGAGGGCGACCGGCCACACUGGGACUGAGAUACGGCCCAGACUCCUACGGGAGGCAGCAGUGGGGAAUAUUGCGCAAUGGGGGAAACCCUGACGCAGCAACGCCGCGUGCGGGAUGAAGGCCUUCGGGUUGUAAACCGCUUUCAGCAGGGACGAAGGGUUUCUGACGGUACCUGCAGAAGAAGCACCGGCUAACUACGUGCCAGCAGCCGCGGUGAUACGUAGGGUGCGAGCGUUGUCCGGAAUUAUUGGGCGUAAAGAGCUUGUAGGCGGUCCGUCACGUCGGAAGUGAAAACUCAGGGCUUAACCCUGAGCCUGCUUUCGAUACGGGCAGACUUGAGGGAUGUAGGGGAGAACGGAAUUCCUGGUGGAGCGGUGGAAUGCGCAGAUAUCAGGAGGAACACCAGUGGCGAAGGCGGUUCUCUGGACAUUACCUGACGCUGAGAAGCGAAAGCGUGGGGAGCAAACAGGCUUAGAUACCCUGGUAGUCCACGCCGUAACGGUGGGCACUAGUGUGGGACCCUUUCCACGGGUUCGUGCGUAGCUACGCAUUAGUGCCCCGCUGG
rnacentral:rRNA from 1 species